rnacentral:lncRNA from 1 species
CUUGUGCCACGGUGGCCCAAAUGUCAGUCAACCAGACAUGUCUUCUGAGAGUUCCCAGGAAUGUGGUGAAGAGCAACUGUAAGCGAUAAGAUUGUUCCCAGCGCUAAUAAAACUUUGGAGUUAAUUAACUGAGAAGAAGGUAAAAUGAAAUGUUGUUAUGAGGGCUAAAGUUGUUUUUCUACCUUUUUGAAAAUUAUUUUUUAUCUGUUGAAAUUAUAAUAUAAUUAUCAUCUCUCCUUCUUUUUGCUCCCCUCUCAGAAAUUAACAGCCUUGAGUUGCAGGUGGAAGGUGCAGAAGCCAAAUUAAAAACAGUCUUUUCAGGCUGAGCUCAGGAGCCUGAAUUUCCAUGCUGUAAGUGGCUGGGAUCCACUGGAGGAUUUUAAUUGUGUAAGUUGACAAGAUCAGAUUUGCUAUUCAGAAAGCACACCCUGGCACAGAUCGGUGGGUGGAAUAGAAAGUGGUUGCCCUGGAGACAGGCAGACCCAUUAGGAAGCUCUGACAAAGAUCCAGGAGAGAGAAAAUGAGGAUAGUGGUUGGAGGAAUGAGCAGAUUCAAAGACAUUUUAGAGGUGGAACGGAUGGUCGGGAGACGCUCAUUCAGUGUAAAUGCUGAAGGAAAGGAAGAACCAAGGAGCGCUGUGGUUUCCAGCUUGGAUUUCUAUAUGGAUAGUGAAUAAUUAAUGAAGAUGUGGCGGGCGGGCAUAAUGGGGACUUAAGAGGGAGGUAGUUGUAGAUGGACGUGAUCAAUAUACAUUUGUUUAAAUGUGUAUAACUUUCAAAGAGUAAGAGAAUUAUUAUUUUAAUAGAUCAAGGUAUAAAAUACAAAAAAAAGUCAAAUGGGGGGGGGGGUUUGCUAAUGAAUUCAUAUGUGACCUGUUGAAUUUGAUGUAUCUUUUGGACUUGUAGGUGAAGAAGUCACAUGUGGUGAAUAUAUUAUCAUCAGAAUGCGGAGCAAUGAAAUGUAAACAGAUAGGAAUCGUCACUAAAGCUCCAACUGCAGCCUCCGGGUGCCAUAGCUUUUGCACCAUCCAUUUGCACCAUCUCUGCAGUAAGUCCUAGCUCAAGCCUUACUCCAAAGUACAAAUUAGCAUAGCAGCUCAGUCAACAAUGCCUCCGAGCUUCUGGAAAGAAAGAUGCUCAGUCACCAUAGACCCAGAAUUAAUGAAAAGUCACAGAAAUAAUAGCUCCAUUCUCUACUUGCUUCUGAACCUCAAAUCAGUGGUUGGCAACAAGGAUGUCUGCAUCAUCUGUAUUGACCUGCUCCCCAGAUUAAUACCGAAGCACUGCAAUUUCUUGAGGAUUAUCCACCUAGGAGGAAAUGAUACGCUGGCCCAUCCAUAGUAGUCAAGGGAACCACCAUCUCAGAUGGUAGAAACCACUCAGAAGGAUCAACUGCUGCAGACGGGAAGAGGAGCAACCUCGUGAAUAAUUUCGUGACAGGAUAUUGCAGGAGGGACUUUGUCCAAAUGUGUGCAGGGUAGUUGGCUACAGCAACAAGGAUGACGAACACAGAUGAAUUGAUCAGGAUGUAACCAUUCAAAGUUGAGAGGAUUAGAGGACUUCUCCGAGGCGGCUCCAAUGGAUGCCAGCAGAGUUAAAGUGUCCAAUGGAGAGAAGAGAAGGCUUGGGAAAUCCAGAGUCCAUUCAUUCAUCGCCCUCCUCCUAGAACAACAAAAGCGAGCCCCAGUACUCAUCAGCAUGGACUCUGUGUGUAGUCAUCUCCCUUAGUUUCAGAGGUUCCUGCCUACAGCAAAACUUUAGAGGCUUAGAGUUUAACGGUCAUAGCUUAUUCACCUCCAACUGUGUCCUAGUUCAAGAGAAACACUUCACAUAUCUGUAGGGAGAAGAUAAUGAACCAAGGAUACAAGUUAAGCCUUAGCUAAGACCUGUUACUCAGGAAAAAGAGCUAAAACAAGCUGCUUAGAUCAGCACCAAUGUUAGGUAGAGAGAAAAAGAAACGCUGCAUAGAAAUCUUAAGGUUCACAUGUGCUCCAGGCUGGGUCAACAACUUCUAAUUUCCUUUGCCAACCAACCAUGUCUUUGACAGAAAUGAUCCUUCUACAUAGACCACAGAGGGAUCCAAUGGAGGUUUCUCUUCCUGAAUUUGGGGAUUCAGAAUCUGGACAAAUUCCUUUCCAUCAAAGUCCAGUACAAAAGUAGUACCAUGGCAGUCCCUGCAGGGACUUGCAUCACUUUCCCUAGAGAUAUCAAGAGAAUUUUUAGUGAUAAGAAUAUGGCACAAAAUGAGAAAUCCCAUUACUCUUAAGAGAAUCUCUUCCUUCUCAAAGGCACCUGAUUAAUACAUAUAGUACUAUCAGUAAGGCUGAGCAAAAGGAUACUGAUGUUCUGAGUGAUCUUAAAUCAUGUAAUAAUAACUUUAUUCGUAGUAUAGAACGGAAUAUUCCCUAUUAGUAAUCAGUUCCUUUGCCAGAUCCUCAUAGUAUCUUAGUCACUGUUUUAUUGUUAUGAAGAGAAACUUUGACCACAGCACCUCUUAGAAAAAAGGAAGCAUUUAAUCGGGACUUCCUUAUGGUUUCACAGUUUUACAUAAUUGUCAACAUGGCAGAGAACAUGGGGGCACGCAAACAGACAUGGUGCUGGAGAAGUAGCGGAGAAUAUACAGCAACAUAUAGAUACAAAAUAUAGAUACAUAUAGAUACAGAAUAUAGAUACAUAUAGCUACAUAUAGAUCUGCAGGCAGCAGGAAGAGACUGGGACAAGGCCAUACCUUCUAAGGCUUCUCAAGGAGUGUCACUUCCUGAUGACCAAGCAUUCAAGUGUAUGAGCUUAUGGGAGCCAUUCUUAUUCAAGCCACCACACAUAGCAAAGCUGAUAAUGUCAUUUUCUGAAUUAACCAGGCCAAGGCACACUUCUUAGCAACAUGGUUACCUGGUAACCAGAGAUUUUUCUCAUCCCAUGAGAGAUUUCAUUCAAGAACUGAUCUUCUAACAGUUUUGUCUCUCUUAAGAAUGCUACAGACAGGGUGGGGUGAGGCACAGUGCUGAAGCCCCUCAAGUUUCCCAGAGGGAUGAGUCCAUGAAAGACGAAAAUCAUGUGGUCACACUGAGCAUAGACUUCACAAGCAUCAUGCUAGGAUUCCAUUUUCUUUCUCAACACAAUGAUAAAUUCUUCUUCCAAUAAGCAGAAAAUCAUCCAAUGGGAAAAAAAAAUAAAACCAACUAACUUGCAGUCCUUUGGAACAGUUUCAUAGCUUACAGGAUGGCUUCAUAACCCUGGGGACACUCGUUUUGACAUGAAAACUUCCUUCAGAACAGGAAUUCUGAUCCAACAUGUGCUCAGACAUCAUUUCAGUCACUUGCAAAUGAACAAGAAAGCUCAUGUAAAUGAGGAGGCUCAACUCCCAGGCCUGGUGAGUGGGUAAGACAUUCCUCUGCUGGGUUUUGAAGGCUGUCUGAAACCAUCGGCUGACAUCCUUCUCUGUGUGCAUGUAUGCACUAUCUACGGGAAAUUCAGCUCCAACCGGUUGUCUCUACAGCUCCCUUAAUCUUCUCCUCCCUCCUCCUGGCAUUGGCAUGUGUCCCAGGACUGCAGCGAGGAGUGCUUACCAACAAAGGUGCUGGCAUCUGCAUUUGUUUCACAGCCACAAACCUAAUGGUUCCAUGAUUUUGGCGAGCAAAACUGUCAAAAUGCCUGAGCACAAGAGAUCACAAGAUGAGCCAAGGCAUAGUGUGCAUGCCUUCCUUCCCAGCACUCGGAAGGCAGAGGCAAGGGGAUCUCUGUGGGUUCAAGGCCAGCCUGAAUCACAAGGUGUACUGGGGAUUCUUUUUUAUUGUUUUCCUUUUGCUAUCUGGAAUAGUUUGAGAUUGUAUUUGAUCAGUGCAUUAAACAAC